UCAUCACUCAACUCCCUUAUUGAUAGAAGCUACGAGAGACAGUUUAUCCAAUCAACUCUUCACUCUGACUACGAUCGCUUCGUAAAAGAGCCGUGUGUAACUGUCCCGUAUUGCUAAGAAAAACAUCAAACUUGCAUUCAAAAACCUUUAAAAUCAUGAAAAUUCAAGUGGUUAUUAUAUUUUUCUUCUCUCUAGUGUGGUUGGUGAAGUGCGAACAUCUCAUUCUCGGGGAUACGAAUAAGAAAACGUUGUUGUUCCACAAAGUCGCUCAGUAUCACGCGAUUCCAUUUACUAAAAGAAUAAAGAGUGUGUUUUUCAGCAGUCCUGAACAAAGGGUGAUAAAUAGUAUCAUGGUGUACGACAACCUCCAUUCCCAGGCCAAGGCUACGGUGACCGCCGGAGGACCGGGUUACACCUACGUCAACAUUCUGCUGAAGAGCGAACGCGGGAAAGGCCUGGACUACGAUAUUGGAAUUUAUUCUUAGAUUUAAGUUGUUUUAAAAUUUGGGUACCUACCUACUGCUAGUCGAGAUUGUAUUUAAAUAAAUUCUAUCUUGAUUGUUUUUUUUGUAA